GUCCGGGUAUUUGAAGAUAUGCCUGUUAGCCCAAGAAGCGAACAAAUAAUGAAUCAGAAUAGCAAAUAAGUACGAGGGCGUUUAGAGAACUGUUAAUGAAUACCUUUGAGAUGAAUAGUGGCCACCGACUCAGAGAAUGAGAAAAGAACACAACGGACAGCAGGGCUGUAAAUAAAAUUAAAGCAGAGAAACAGACAAAUAUAGCAACAUAAAGCGUCCGGUAGAAGCACUUGGUUCAGCAACUCAAAUGGCAAAUAAUGGUACAAGUGGAUUUGAU
rnacentral:lncRNA from 1 species